rnacentral:rRNA from 1 species
AUUGAACGCUGGCGGCAGGCCUAACACAUGCAAGUCGAGCGAGCGGCGGACGGGUGAGUAAUGUCUGGGAAACUGCCUGAUGGAGGGGGAUAACUACUGGAAACGGUAGCUAAUAACGCAUACCAUCAGAUGUUCCCAGAUGGGAUUAGCUGGUAGGUGGGGUAACGGCUCACCUAGGCGAAGAUCCCUAGCUGGUCUGAGAGGAUGACCAGCCACACUGGAACUGAGACACGGUCCAGACUCCUACGGGAGGCAGCAGUGGGGAAUAUUGCACAAUGGGCGCAAGCCUGAUGCAGCCAUGCCGCGUGUGUGAAGAAGGCCUUCGGGUUGUAAAGCACUUUCAGCGGGGAGGCGUUACCCGCAGAAGAAGCACCGGCUAACUCCGUGCCAGCAGCCGCGGUAAUAC